rnacentral:rRNA from 1 species
GACGAAGCGUGCGAACGUUGUUCGGAAUCACUGGGCUUAAAGGGCGUGUAGGCGGUUUGUUACGUCAGGUGUGAAAUCCCUCGGCUUAACCGGGGAACUGCGUCUGAUACUGGAUGGCUUGAGUGCGGGAGAGGGAUGCGGAAUUCCAGGUGUAGCGGUGAAAUGCGUAGAUAUCUGGAGGAACACCGGUGGCGAAGGCGGCAUCCUGGACCGAUACUGACGCUGAGGAGCGAAAGCCAGGGGAGCAAACGGG